rnacentral:rRNA from 1 species
GUGACGAGCGGCGGACGGGUGAGUAAUGUCUGGGAAACUGCCUGAUGGAGGGGGAUAACUACUGGAAACGGUAGCUAAUACCGCAUAACGUCGCAAGACCAAAGAGGGGGACCUUCGGGCCUCUUGCCAUCAGAUGUGCCCAGAUGGGAUUAGCUAGUAGGUGGGGUAACGGCUCACCUAGGCGACGAUCCCUAGCUGGUCUGAGAGGAUGACCAGCCACACUGGAACUGAGACACGGUCCAGACUCCUACGGGAGGCAGCAGUGGGGAAUAUUGCACAAUGGGCGCAAGCCUGAUGCAGCCAUGCCGCGUGUAUGAAGAAGGCCUUCGGGUUGUAAAGUACUUUCAGCGGGGAGGAAGGCGAUGAGGUUAAUAACCUCGUCGAUUGACGUUACCCGCAGAAGAAGCACCGGCUAACUCCGUGCCAGCAGCCGCGGUAAUACGGAGGGUGCAAGCGUUAAUCGGAAUUACUGGGCGUAAAGCGCACGCAGGCGGUCUGUCAAGUCGGAUGUGAAAUCCCCGGGCUCAACCUGGGAACUGCAUUCGAAACUGGCAGGCUAGAGUCUUGUAGAGGGGGGUAGAAUUCCAGGUGUAGCGGUGAAAUGCGUAGAGAUCUGGAGGAAUACCGGUGGCG